CGUUGGCCCCUUAUCGGGGUUGCGGACAGUGUCUGGUGGGUAGUUUGACUGGGGCGGUCUCCUCCCAAAGCGUAACGGAGGAGCACGAAGGUUAGCUAAUCCUGGUCGGACAUCAGGAGGUUAGUGCAAUGGCAUAAGCUAGCUUGACUGCGAGCGUGACGGCGCGAGCAGGUGCGAAAGCAGGUCAUAGUGAUCCGGUGGUUCUGAAUGGAAGGGCCAUCGCUCAACGGAUAAAAGGUACUCCGGGGAUAACAGGCUGAUACCGCCCAAGAGUUCAUAUCGACGGCGGUGUUUGGCACCUCGAUGUCGGCUCAUCACAUCCUGGGGCUGAAGUAGGUCCCAAGGGUAUGGCUGUUCGCCAUUUAAAGUGGUACGCGAGCUGGGUUUAGAACGUCGUGAGACAGUUCGGUCCCUAUCUGCCGUGGGCGCUGGAGAAUUGAGGGGGGCUGCUCCUAGUACGAGAGGACCGGAGUGGACGCAUCACUGGUGUUCGGGUUGUCAUGCCAAUGGCACUGCCCGGUAGCUAAAUGCGGAAGAGAUAAGUGCUGAAAGCAUCUAAGCACGAAACUUGCCCCG
rnacentral:rRNA from 1 species